UCCCGUUGAUCCUGCGGGAGAUUGCUACUAUCGGGAUUCGACUAAGCCAUGCAAGUCCAGGGGGAGCUCGCUCCACCGGCAAAAUGCUCAGUAACACGUCGAUAAUCUUCCCUUAGAUCUGGAAUAACCUCGGAAACCUGAGGCUAAUACCGGAUAGGGGAAUAAUUCUGGAAUGAUUAUUCCUUCAAAGAUUACGUCUAAGGAUGAGUCGGCGGCAGAUUAGGCUGUUGGUGAGGUAAUGGCUCACCAAACCAUUGAUCUGUACGGGCCGUGAGAGCGGUAGCCCGGAGAAGGACACUGAGAUACUGGUCCUAGCCCUACGGGGUGCAGCAGGCGCGAAACCUUUACAAUGCACGAAAGUGUGAUAAGGGAAUCCCGAGUGCUCAUGUUUUCAUGGGCUUUUAUUAAGAGUAAAAAUCUUGGUGAAUAAGUGGUGGGAAAGACCGGUGCCAGCAGCCGCGGUAACACCGGCGCCACGAGUGGCAAUCAGUAUUAUUGGGCCUAAAGCGUCCGUAGCUGGUCUGUUAAAUCUUUUGUGAAAUUGUUGGGCUUAACUCAACAGCGUGCAGAAGAGACUGGCAGACUUGAGACCGGGAGGAGUCAGAAGUAUUCGAAGGGGAGCGGUAAAAUGUUUUAAUCCUUCGAAGACUACCGGUGGCGAAGGCGUCUGACUAGAACGGUUCUGACAGUGAGGGACGAAGGCUAGGGGAGCAAACCGGAUUAGAUACCCGAGUAGUCCUAGCAGUAAACGCUGCCAACUAGGUGUUGCGCAUUCCACGAGGAUGUGCAGUAUCGUAGCGAAGGUGAUAAGUUGGCCGCCUGGGGAGUACGGUCGCAAGACUGAAACUUAAAGGAAUUGGCGGGGGAGCACCACAAGGGGUGCGGCGUGCGGUUUAAUCUAACUCAACACAGAGAAUCUCACCAGAGGCGACGGCAGGAUGAAAGUCAGUCUAAAGGGCUUACUUGACGAGCCGAGAGGUAGUGCAUGGCCGCCGUCAGCUCGUGCUGUAAGGUGUCCAGUUAAGUCUGGCAACGAGCGAGACCUGCAUCUACUAUUGCAAACGAGUUCUUUUGAAUGUUCGUGCACUUUGUAGAGACUGCCCUGGUAACAGGGAGGAAGGUGCAGGCUACGGUAGGUCUGUAUGCUCCGAAUCUUCUGGGCUACACGCGCGCAACAAUGGUCGGGACAAUGGGAUACAACUCCGAAAGGAGAAGUUAAACCUCGAAACCCGAUCCAAGUUUGGAUUGAGGAUUGUAACUCAUCCUCAUGACACUGGAAUCCCUAGUAAUUGGGUGUCAUCAGCGCCCAGUGAAUAUGUCCCUGCUCCUUGCACACACCGCCCGUCAAAUCACUCGAGCAGGGUUUAGAUGAGGUUAUGUUUUUUGAUAUAAUCGAAUCUGAGUUCAGUAAGAGGGGUUAAGUCGUCACAAGGUA
rnacentral:rRNA from 1 species